rnacentral:rRNA from 1 species
UACGAAGGGGGCUAGCGUUGUUCGGAAUCACUGGGCGUAAAGGGCGCGUAGGCGGUCGUGACAAGUCACUUGUGAAAUCUCCGGGCUUAACUCGGAACGGUCAAGUGAUACUGUCGGACUAGAGUACAGAAGGGGCAACUGGAAUUCUCGGUGUAGCGGUGAAAUGCGUAGAUAUCGAGAGGAACACCUGCGGCGAAGGCGGGUUGCUGGGCUGAUACUGACGCUGAGGCGCGGAAAGCCAGGGGAGCGAACGGG